rnacentral:rRNA from 1 species
UACGUAGGGUGCAAGCGUUAAUCGGAAUUACUGGGCGUAAAGCGUGCGCAGGCGGUGAUGUAAGACAGGUGUGAAAUCCCCGGGCUUAACCUGGGAACUGCAUUUGUGACUGCAUCGCUGGAGUGCGGAAGAGGGGGAUGGAAUUCCGCGUGUAGCAGUGAAAUGCGUAGAUAUGCGGAGGAACACCGAUGGCGAAGGCAAUCCCCUGGGCCUGCACUGACGCUCAUGCACGAAAGCGUGGGGAGCAAACAGG